CCCACUUCAUUCUCAGUAUUCAUGGUUCAAUUCAUGAAGGGCUCAAUGGCGAUCUGCACGAGAUUACAAGGUUUUCAUUGGUGAUCCUCAACAGUAGAAGGAUAUAUCUGCUAUUAUCAUAUUUAAAAGUUCUGACGGUGGGCUAUAAACACUGCUUGAGACAAGGGCGCUGUUAUCGUGACUUCCUUUUAUUCAAAUUGUUGCUCUGUAUGCAGAUUUUCAGAAUAUAUGGCUCCAGGUCGUAGAUCACUGAAAGUUGUCACAUGUUAUUCUCCGGAUCCCAUUCCACUUACCGCAAGUCCAGAUGUUGUUGCUCUAUCCACUGACUCUCCUUCGAAACCCAGUCCACUUACCACGAGUCCAAAUCUUGUGGCUUCAUCCACCGACUCUUCUUCUGAUUGCGUUCCUCCAAUGUUUGUAAAUCGUCGAGGAAAAUCAAAGAACUGUUCACUAAAUACCUAUCGGAGUAAGAACAAUUUAGUCUUAAUAGAAAUUGAGAUUCUACCAGGGAUAUGGAAGCCUGUCAAUGGUUGGAGCAAAGAGUGGACAACUGAAUUGGGAAUCCAGGUUCGGCAAUAUGCGCCAUAUCAUAAGAAUUGGAAGCAUAUACUGCAAGCUAAGAAAGAGUUGAUUUAUAAAAUUAUAAAGGGUAAAUUCAAAAUGAGAUGAGGAUCCCCAUAUCAUGAGAUGUAUUGAUAAGCAACUGAAAAAACAAUUGAAGGAUUUCAGAUGCAGGCUACAUAGACAUUUUCUCAAGUUUUCCCCAGAGGAGGUGCACUCUCAUCCUUAUAAAUCUAUCACUCAAGAAAACUGGGAUCUUGUAUGCAAUAGGUUUAUGUCUGAACAAUUUAAGCGAGGAAGUAAGACAAACAAAAGGAAUAGGGAAAAGAAUAAAGUCCCGCAUCGUGGUGGAUUGAAAUCAUUUGUUUGAUGUCAUGAAGAGCUGCGGGAUGCCGAAACACAACAACUUCCUAGCAGGAUCAAACUCUAUGAGAAGACACAUUUUCAUCCGGAUAAAGGCUGGAGCUGUCCGCGUGCUAAAGAGCUUUAUGCAAAGAAACCUUUUAUUUAUUUUUUUUCUAUCCUUCCAUGUAUCAAUCUAUUGCUCUAACAAAAUUUACCAUUAGUUAAAUUAUAGGAUACCAUGGUUGCAAAACUCCAAGAAUCUCAAUCAGUUGGAGACAAUGAUUCUCCAAUGAUUGAGGAUGAUAUUGUAGAUGAAGUUCUUGGUACGACAUCAACUUAUGUGGAUGGCCUCGGACAUGGCGUGAUAGCUUCAUCUUCUAAUUCUAGCCUACGUGAGCAAAUCGUGGUGGCUAACAAGAGAAAUGUUAUAUUGGAGUCUGAAAUUGAAGCUCUUAAGAGGGAUGCUAUGGAGAAAAAUGCUCUUCUAGAGUUAGAGACUGAAAAGGCUAAUAGAGAGGCUUCAGAUGCUAAAAGAGAGGCUGCCAAAGCUGUAGAGCAAUGCAGCAAAAUGGCCGAAAUGUAUAAGGUCAUCAUGGAAAAGCUCAAUAAUACUAACUAAAGGUUGGACCGGAAUGUAGGUAAGAAGCUCUUUUUGAUUUGCCAUAUUUACAGGGAACUUUUGAUCACAAGUCAGUGCCUCCAAUUGAUUCAUCACCAUCUUUUGUUGCUCUAAUCAAGCAUGUUAGUGAUAAUGCAAUUGACAUGCCAUGGAUAUUUGUAAUGGAGUUGUUUUGGAUAUAAUUAAGUCUUAUUUUGUUAUAGAUUUGCUUUAGAUAUAUGUAAUAUUUGUGUAUAGGUAGGAUUUGUAGUAUAUAUAUAUAUAUAUAUAUAUAUAUACAUGUUAGAUAGUUUUUGUUAAAUGGCAGGAUAGUUUUUGUUAAAUGUCCAUAUAUUUUGACUCUUGUUAUGAA